rnacentral:rRNA from 1 species
UGGGGAAUUUUGGACAAUGGGCGAAAGCCUGAUCCAGCAAUGCCGCGUGUGUGAAGAAGGCCUUCGGGUUGUAAAGCACUUUUGUCCGGAAAGAAAUCCUUGGCUCUAAUACAGUCGGGGGAUGACGGUACCGGAAGAAUAAGCACCGGCUAACUACGUGCCAGCAGCCGCGGUAAUACGUAGGGUGCAAGCGUUAAUCGGAAUUACUGGGCGUAAAGCGUGCGCAGGCGGUUUGCUAAGACCGAUGUGAAAUCCCCGGGCUCAACCUGGGAACUGCAUUGGUGACUGGCAGGCUAGAGUAUGGCAGAGGGGGGUAGAAUUCCACGUGUAGCAGUGAAAUGCAUAGAGAUGUGGAGGAAUACCGAUGGCGAAGGCAGCCCCCUGGGCCAAUACUGACGCUCAUGCACGAAAGCGUGGGGAGCAAACAGGAUUAGAUACCCUGGUAGUCCACGCCCUAAACGAUGUCAACUAGUUGUUGGGGAUUCAUUUCCUUAGUAACGUAGCUAACGCGUGAAGUUGACCGCCUGGGGAGUACGGUCGCAAGAUUAAAACUCAAAUGAAUUGACGGGGUCAUAGCUGUUUCCU